GAUGAAGAACGUAGCGAAAUGCGAUAAGUAAUGUGAAUUGCAGAAUCCAGUGAAUCAUCGAAUCUUUGAACGCACAUUGCGCCCGCCAGCAUUCUGGCGGGCAUGCCUGUUCGAGCGUCAUUUCAACCCUCGACCUCCCUUUGGGGAAGUCGGCGUUGGGGACCGGCAGCACACCGCCGGCCCUGAAAUGGAGUGGCGGCCCGUCCGCGGCGACCUCUGCGUAGUAAACCAACUCGCACCGGAACCCCGACGUGGCCACGCCGUAAAACACCCAACUUAUGAACGUUGACCUCGAAUCAGGUAGGACUGCCCGCUGAACUUAAGCAUAUCAAUAAGCGGAGGA
rnacentral:misc_RNA from 1 species